CAUAGAACCACUUGAGAUCAAUAGGGGCUGUUCCCUAGUGAUGCUGCUCCUGGCCAAGUCUGAAACCCAAAAGUUACAGCACUAUCAGCCUGAAAGUGAAACUGGCGAUCAAUAAAAAUGAAGCUGAAUUAACUGAUUUUCAUUUGCCCAAGAUCAGAAGAAUGUAAGAAGUAAACAAAAAAGAAACAGAUUAAACUAGCUGUUUGCAUUGCUGCUGAAGGCUUGGGAAAUGUCACAAACCAUCACAGCACAGGAAUUCAAAGAGAAAUACUUUGGGGGAAGCAGUCAGUGGCCUUCUAUCAAAGCCUCUUCUAUCAUUUCAGGCCUUUCAACUUUUGCAGGGCAUAAUUGUUUUUGUGGUGCCCAAUUGGCAAAAGGAGAUGUUGUUCCAGACUGAUGGUGGGUAACCUGCAGUGUAUACAGCCCAAUUGUGACAAUGUUUAGUGACUGAACAGCACAUCUGUGAGUCGAGGGGGCUGGGGAGCUAACAAGGUGGACCUGGAAAACACGUCCUUUCCAAAAAGGUGACUACCGCUCUGGAGCUCCUGUUUCAGAAAAAGUUUACAGCUAUCAGCAACUGGCAUUGGGUCAGAAUUUAUGAGGGAAUCAACAGGAUGCUGCAUUAGCUUCUACAUGGCUUACCUUGUUACGGCUGCGUGCAAACAUAAAGAACUCCACAGCCGGCACAUUUCUGGAUUAAAAACUCAAAAUACCCAUUGUACUUGGGACAAAUGAUCUUGUCACCUAUGGACUGCCAAAAUGGACUAGAUUUGUAAAUGGAACACAUUUCUCUCCCCCACCACGGUCACUGUUUCCAGGUGGUUGACAGACUGUGGAGUGGUUACAGAACCACAAACCUAAAGGCAUGGCAAUGGAAGAUUAUUUCUAAGAAACAGGAAUGGCCCUAGCAAAAAUCUGCAUCUUUCCAGUAAAAAUUCACUUUAAAGCACUUAUUUACUGUUUGCAUUUGCCAGUCCCCAUUUUGAACGACAUAUGGUGGAUGGGAGGGGAAGGAGGGACACCAAAGCACUAGGAUACAAUCCACCAUCAGCAGAUACAUACUGCUAGCUGGGGCUUCUCGUAACUUUUGCAUUGGUUCAUAGAGUGGAAAUCACUCCCAUUACAGUAUUAUCAAAGUUUAUAAUGGAUCCAUAAACUUAGUGGGCUCAGGGGUGGCUUCUGUCCCUUCUGGGUCUGCUGCAGGCUCUGCAGGGGGCUGUUCUUCCAGCGGGGCAUCAAACAGCUUCUCUGCAGAUGGACCCAGAAUGUGCUGCUGUUGCCCCUGUUCCAAAGCCUGCUCUGGAACCAGUUUCAGCAGCCUAGUGAUUUCAUGGUCCUCCUUCACUGCUGGCUCCCCUCAGUGCCCAUGCUGGAUUCUGAAGCCAGCAGGGCACCAGCCUGGCUGAGCAGGUCAUCAUGCACCACGGUUGAACCGUAGGCGCCGGAGCACCCACAGAAUUGGCACCUAUGGCUUGAAGCCUGGGUCGUGGCUUGGCUCAGGCUCAGACCCUCCACCCCUGCAUGGUCCUGGGAUCAAGCCAUGGAUUAGUAUGAUUUGUGUGUAGAUGGAAAGUGAGGCGGGUUAGGCUUGAGGUUGAGCCUGGGAUUACACUGCAGCAAACCCUAAGUGAAGGUCUGUAGUACUCUUUGAGCUGCCCUGCUUUGAAACAGGAGGAGAUGA